rnacentral:rRNA from 1 species
UACGAGGGGGGCGAGCGUUGUUCGGAAUUAUUGGGCGUAAAGGGUGUGUAGGCGGUUUGAUAAGUCUUGUGUGAAAUCUCUGGGCUCAACCCAGAGUCUGCAUAGGAAACUGUCGGGCUUGAGUAUGGGAGAGGUGAGUGGAAUUUCCGGUGUAGCGGUGGAAUGCGCAGAUAUCAGGAGGAACACCAAUGGCGAAGGCGGCCCGCUGGGCAGUGGCUGACGCUGAGGCGCGACAGCGUGGGGAGCAAACAGG